rnacentral:rRNA from 1 species
UACAGAGGUGCGAGCGUUAAUCGGAGUUACUGGGCGUAAAGGGCGCGUAGGCGGUUGAUUAAGUGAGAUGUGAAAAUCCCUGGGCUUAACCUAGGAACUGCAUCUCAUACUGGUUAGCUAGAGUAUUGUAGAGGGUAGUGGAAUUUCCGGUGUAGCGGUGAAAUGCGUAGAGAUCGGAAGGAACACCAGUGGCGAAGGCGGCUACCUGGACAAUACUGAACGGCUGAGGCGCGAAAGCAGUGGGGAGC